AAGAGGGUAAACAAAUUAGAUUUAUAGAAAAAUCAUUUAAAAUUAUUUAAUUGAGUGCAUUAAGUGAUUUAACCUGAGAUAUUUAUCGAUCACUGAGUUGAGCUGUUAACGGAUUAGGUGUUAACACUGCACUUUUCAGCAAAGGUCAAAACUGCCAUGCUGCAGGUCACUUCAGCCAGUUUUAGAUCUUUUUGGAAGACGAGAAAAUGAAGCUGGCGGAAUGGUCUGGAUUGGAUUACCCAUCUGGAGCGAGUGUUGCCUCUAGAAGCUGAGAGCAGUCCCUGGGGACCUCAGUCCUACAGCUACAAGGGACUGAAUUCUGCCAACAACCUGGAUGAGCUUGGAAGAGGACCCUGAGCCCCAGGUGGGAACGCAGCCCAGGCCAAUAUCUUGGUUGCAUCCAUGUUAGACCCUGAGCAGAGAACCCAGUGACACUGUGUCUGGACGUCUGACCUACAGAUACCAUGAGACAGUAAGUGGAUGUCAUUUUAAGGCACUGUUUUUGGUAAUUUGUACACAGCAAUAGAAAACUAAUGUGAUCUGACUUCCUUUUCUAUAUUUCUUUCACUCCUUUUCCACCAUAGAUGAUACAACAGUAGGCCUCACGUGAUUAACCUCAAAAUAAGCUAUCAAGACAGUAAUUGUAAUGGAAACAUGGCAAAUGGAAGCUGACUUCCAGUGUGUUAAGGCAACAUUCUGGUGCUGUGUAAAAACAGGCUCAUGAUCGUUCCUGAGAGAGAACAGCUCCAUCCUGAGCAAGCUUGAGAUCUCACUGCAUGGUGUACAUGCUUACCUCGAGCCACCAGGCUUCCAUUGGCUUGAGGUAAGGACUUUCACAUAAAGUUGUGGUCAAUGCUAAAAUCAGAGAAGUGAGCAAAGCCAAAUGCUGAAUGAAAAGUUAAAUGCCGUCAGCUAAUGAGGUGAUUCUGAAUGGGUCACCAAAAUUAAAGUGCUAAGAGAUUGUAGCCAGAAUCUAGGAAUAAGAUUUGUAAGAAUAAGAG
rnacentral:lncRNA from 1 species